UACAAACCAAGCUUUUAGAGGCACUUUUUUUCAGCAAAUAUUAAAGAACCGACGUCAUAGGGUUGGAAUUUUUUGGAAGGGAUUUUGACACCACCUAUGGCGUCGGUUAUUUGGAAAUAACCGACGCCAUAGGGUGUCCCCCCUAUGGCGUCGGUUAUUUCUAAAAAAACCGACGCCUAAAGGGUUUAUAACCCUAGCCCAGCCCAUCAUCUUCCUCAUUCGACCAGCCAACCCAGAAACCCCCAAACCAGAGAACCCCAAACCCUCUCCGCCAACCACCACGAAAAACCACCCCCAUUUCACCAUUUUUUCACCAUUUUAGCUCAUUUUUGUUUCUAAAUCUUCUAUUUUUCAUACCUAAAACUAUAUACCUGAAAAGAUCACAUUUUUCCUCAUUUUUUAGGGUAAACCGAAGGUAGAGGUAGUGGUGGUGGUGGUUAUACCUCCGGCCACCGUUUUUAGUGGAGAAAACAUUGUAUUUCAACGUCUAUUAAGGUUGUGAGGUCAAUUUGCAAGGAUCUGACUUAUUUAGUAUUGAUCGGUUUCUAGUUAGCUCGAGGAUUUUAUCGGAAGUGACUUUAUCAGAAGACAAAUACAUAAUUUUUGGUAUAAGGUAUGCUUUCUUUAACCUACUUUUAUAAGAAUAUUUUUCAUAUAUAUUUAGAUAAUCUUUAAAUGCUUAAAGUAAUUUUAGAAUAAUAUUGAUGUAAUACAUAGGAUAUAUAUUAUUGAGUACUAAGGAUAGAUAUAGUAAGCUAUAAAAAAAAUACAAAAAAGGUCUAUAUUGGGAUUUGAACUUGUGACCAAAAGGAUAGAUUGAUAAGUUUUUACCAAUAUACCAAAACACACUAGAAUUAACAAAUACAUUAUAAACAUUAAUUCUAAUACUUAAAAUAAGAAUUCUAUUAGUUUAUGUUAAGUAAAAUAGAAAAAUAAAACACCCAAGUUCAAAAAAAA